UCAAAACUUUAAAUACGAGCACUCCAUUAUAUGUCCAGUUAUAUCUCAAUAUGUGUUAUAUGACAGUAUUCACACUGGGUACAAUUAAGUUUUUGCUGUGUGUAAUGGAGCUUUAAUUCAUUUUACUGCCAGUAACCUACUUUUGAACCUGAUUGUGAAUCCAGAAGACAUGUAUGGAAUUUUAGUGCACAAAGGUAAACAGUAUGCUUAGAUUCAUUGCAAGAGAGCUCAUUUCUUUAUUUUCUCAUCACAUUUUUAUUGACUAUCUACUACGUUUUAAGAAUUGUGCUAGACACUGGAGGUGUAAUGAUUACCAAAAAAUAAACUUGAACACGCUCAGGUGGGGGCGGGGAAUAGCUUUAAAGUAAUUAUAUGAACUUAUUGUUUUACAAAUUGAGAAAUGUGCUCUGAAGGCCAGGAACAGAUUUCUGAAAGUGUGUAUGCAGCAGAGGAACCUGGCUUACCCUUGGCAGAUGGGGACGGGGAUGUUUUAGGGAAGGCCCUCAUCUAGCAGUGGUGUGUGAGCCGAGCUCUGAUGUGAGUAGGCGGUAAUUAAGCUGCAAGGGCUCCUGUAGAGACAGAUAAGGGCCAGGCAGGGUGGGGCCUAGGUUUGGUGCCAGAAGAUCCUGAGUGGAUUUAGUGGAUUCAGAGUACAUUGGAUUGGAGCUCAGAGAGGACACCUACCCGGAAUAUGAAUUUGGGAGUCACACUGCAGAGAUGUGAACUGAACUGUAGGAGUGGUGAGAUUUCUUAUGGGGAAAUUAUGGAGUGAGAACAUGAGAAGGCUUUAAGGAACUCGGAAAUUGAUGGCCAGGAGAGGGCUGAUGAACCUGAAGAGGCUAAGGAUGGUGGUCGAAGGGUGGUUAAGUCAGAAGAGAGGAUAGGAUGGUGACCAGUGGAAGAGGAUGGCCAAGACAGUAUGCUU